rnacentral:lncRNA from 1 species
GUAGGUAUGGCCCUCCACAUGUAAGCCACCAAAGCUGACGUGCAGAGUGGCCAGCUGCAGGGUCCAGCAUGGAAACUGUAGGGGCUCCCUGCAAUCCUGCCCUUGGCCCAGCCAGGUUCCCAGCAGGAAAUAGCACUGCGGGGAGGCAGAUGGGCCAGAGAGUCAGUGGCCCAGCCUUUCCUUAAACACCAGCCUCCCAAGGCACUCUUGUUAGCAUCUGGGCCCCUGUGCCAUCCCCUCCCCCUCCAGAGGAGGGGCCCAUCCCAGCCCUUAGCCCUGGCUGGCUGUCCUGGCAGUGGCAGGCCUGCUCAUCCAGCAGGCUGAACACAGAGUCUGUGAGAGUCUCUUGUUCCCACCUACACUCUCCUCCCCAAGGGUCUGGACACAGCCCACCCCAGCCCUCCAUGCAAAUGGGCCACUGGAAUGAAGACUCCAGCAGAUCUGGGGCCUGGGACCCAUGCAUAGCUCUCUUUGAGUCCAGUCCUGCUGGAGUGGAAGCCACCAGAACUCAGCCUUCCCAUGGGAAUCACAAGAUGGGUGAGAUGCAGGGCUCUCCCAGGCCUGCGCCAGCCACAGCCUCCAUCCUCUCCCCGCACCCUGUUUUCUAGAGACAGGAGGCCCUCCGUCUGCACCCAAAGACCACUCACUUUGGGAGGUGGUGCUGUCCUCCAGCAUCCUGCACACAAUGGGCCAAGCUGCCUCCAUGUGUCCCAAAGGGGAUGAGGGCAUCGGCCGGGAUGGAGGGUAGAUGGGACCUAGGAAUGAUGUCAAGCGUGACUGACUCUCAGAUUAGAGAGGAGGCCCAGUGAGGCUGUCUGCUUCAUUUAUUGAGUGACACUUAGUGUGUCCAGAUGCCCUGCACACAGUACGUCCUUCAUAGACAUUGUUAAAUGAACUCCAACCAGAACCACCCCAGGUGUCUGAGUAGGCCUGUGGCCCCUCUGUGACCCUAGAGAUCCCUAAGUGGCUACACCAAGGACAAGCACCAGGACCAGCUGGAUGGCAUCUCAAACUCCUUGACAGGGUGCUCUCCAGGUGUUUUUCCAAACUCAAAA